CCUACGAGAGGCAGCAGUGGGGAAUAUUGCACAAUGGGGGAAACCCUGAUGCAGCGACGCCGCGUGAGUGAAGAAGUAUUUCGGUAUGUAAAGCUCUAUCAGCAGGGAAGAAAAUGACGGUACCUGAUUAAGAAGCCACGGCUAACUACGUGCCAGCAGCCGCGGUAAUACGUAGGGGGCAAGCGUUAUCCGGAUUUACUGGGUGGAAAGGGAGCGUAGACGGCAGCACAAGUCUGGAGUGAAAUGCCGGGGCUUAACCCCGGAACUGCUUUGGAAACUGUGCAGCUAGAGUGCAGGAGAGGUGAGUGGAAUUCCUAGGGUAGCGGUGAAAUGCGGAGAUAUUAGGAGGAACACCAGUGGCGAAGGUGGCUUACUGGACUGUAACUGACGUUGAGGCUCGAAAGCGUGGGGAGCAAACAGGAUUAGAUACCCCGGUAGUC
rnacentral:rRNA from 1 species